rnacentral:lncRNA from 1 species
UUAGUAGGUGAUAGAGGUUUUUUUGUAAAAUUGUGUAUUAUUGUUUAAUUAUUGUUUUUUUUUUAGAGAGAGAAAGGUUGCAUUCUAUACGUUUGGUUUACUUUUUUAGAAAUAAGCUGAAUUAAAAAUAUGAAGCAAUUAAGCUUCAAACUUGGAAUUUGGGGUAUCAACCACCAAACUCUUUGCCACUUGCGCUAGGUAUGUCAGAAAUUGUGUAUUAUUGUCGAUUAUAGUUGUUGUGAGCCUCAACUGUAGAAUUAAAAAAAGACCUACUUUGGUAGGAAUGGGACCCAAAAUACUUUUUAUUUUUUGAGAGAUAGGUAGCAUGCUAUCCGCUUUUUUUUAGAAAUAAACUUAACUGGAAAUGUGAAUCAACUAGGAUUCGAACUUGGGAUCUUGGAUACCAACCACUAAGUCCUUUGCUGCUUACGCCAGGGUGCGCUA